UCUUCACUAGGUUGGUUCUUCCAUUUCACUAGAACCUUAGUAGCCGCUUGACCUUGAUGAUAGACCAUUUUCCUCUCGAGGAUAGUCUCCGGCUCUUAACAAAGAUGUUAGGAAUCGCAAAUGGUAGGGUUGAAGAAGCCACAACAAAACCUAUAUGCUUCUUCAAUUGGGAGACAUGGAACAUAGGGUGGAUACGAGAAGUUGCAAGCAACUUGAGCUUAUAGGCCACAGUCCCACAUUUGUCAAGGACUUCAUAUGGCCCAAAGUAUUUGGGUGCUAACUUUUGAUUACUCCUAUGCACCACACU
rnacentral:lncRNA from 1 species